CAGCUAGCUCUCGUCCCGCCCUCCCAACAGUUCAACCAAUCCCGACAUUCAACAGCAGGACUGUUGGGGCUUGAAUCAUCACUUUCAACACUUGGCGAACCCACUGAGGAGCCGUCUUCAUCCAUAUACACAGCCUCGGGUAUCACUUGCUCUUCCUCAGCUGUUGGCUCUUGUAGCUUGGUCAAGGCACGACGUUUUUGUAACAGACCCUCUAGGCUUAUUCUCCAGCGCCUCCACAGUUGGCAGCCUCACCAGAUUCCCUAUUGGCAAGAGAUGAUCCCUAUGGAGUACUUUCACCCCACCUUUCCCUGUUUCAGGUUCUUGAUUAACACACGGUCUCCUGAGUCCACCGCUUGGAAAACCACUCUUUUGUCAUAGGAUCUUUUGUUACGCUGGUGAACCUUGUCAGCCUCUUCAGCAGC